rnacentral:rRNA from 1 species
UGAUUUCAACAAUGAAGCGAGUGGCGAACUGGUGAGUAACACGUGGGAAAUCUGCCCAGAAGCAGGGGAUAACACUUGGAAACAGGUGCUAAUACCGUAUAACAACAAGAACCGCAUGGCUCUUGUUUGAAAGGUGGCUUCGGCUAUCGCUUCUGGAUGAUCCCGCGGCGUAUUAGUUAGUUGGUGGGGUAAUGGCUCACCAAGACGAUGAUACGUAGCCGACCUGAGAGGGUAAUCGGCCACAUUGGGACUGAGACACGGCCCAAACUCCUACGGGAGGCAGCAGUAGGGAAUCUUCCACAAUGGACGAAAGUCUGAUGGAGCAAUGCCGCGUGAGUGAAGAAGGGUUUCGGCUCGUAAAACUCUGUUGUUAAAGAAGAACACCUCUGAGAGUAACUGUUCAGGGGUUGACGGUAUUUAACCAGAAAGCCACGGCUAACUACGUGCCAGCAGCCGCGGUAAUACGUAGGUGGCAAGCGUUGUCCGGAUUUAUUGGGCGUAAAGCGAGCGCAGGCGGUUUCUUAAGUCUGAUGUGAAAGCCUUCGGCUUAACCGGAGAAGUGCAUCGGAAACUGGGUAACUUGAGUGCAGAAGAGGACAGUGGAACUCCAUGUGUAGCGGUGGAAUGCGUAGAUAUAUGGAAGAACACCAGUGGCGAAGGCGGCUGUCUAGUCUGUAACUGACGCUGAGGCUCGAAAGCAUGGGUAGCGAACAGGAUUAGAUACCCUGGUAGUCCAUGCCGUAAACGAUGAGUGCUAGGUGUUGGAGGGUUUCCGCCCUUCAGUGCCGCAGCUAACGCAUUAAGCACUCCGCCUGGGGAGUACGACCGCAAGGUUGAAACUCAAAGGAAUUGACGGGGGCCCGCACAAGCGGUGGAGCAUGUGGUUUAAUUCGAAGCUACGCGAAGAACCUUACCAGGUCUUGACAUCUUCUGCCAAUCUUAGAGAUAAGACGUUCCCUUCGGGGACAGAAUGACAGGUGGUGCAUGGUUGUCGUCAGCUCGUGUCGUGAGAUGUUGGGUUAAGUCCCG